rnacentral:lncRNA from 1 species
GAUGAGUAGAGCAUCGAUUAAAGUAGAACAGAAAGUAGUAAAAGGGGAGUGGAAAAAUCUUCUGCUAAGAUCUAAGCAUAUGCUGGCAUGCACUCAUUAAAUAUAGCUGUUAGAGUUGCUGCCUGAGGUCAAUGUACUUGGCUUGGUUGCACUUUGCUGUUGAUUCUUUCCUCUGCUUUUAUCAAAUCUACUUCCCAUCUCAGUUUUUGUCCCUCAAAACAUAGUAUAGACCUCCAUUGAUCAUCACAAUCCCCAUAGAAUAGAAAGAAAAAGUGACACAGAUAUAAUAGAAGGUUGGAGAUAUGGC